rnacentral:rRNA from 1 species
GUACGCUGGCGGCACGCCUAACACAUGCAAGUCGAACGAAGUAGCAAUACUUAGUGGCAGACGGGUGAGUAACAUGUAGGUAUCUGCCCUUUGGCCUGGAAUAACACGAGGAAACUUGUGCUAAUACCGGAUAAGUCUUUACGGAGAAAGCUUUAUGCACCAUUGGAUGAGCCUGCACUUGAUUAGUUUGUUGGUGGGGUAAUGGCCUACCAAGACUGUGAUCAAUAGCUGAUUUGAGAGGAUGAUCAGCCACAUUGGGACUGAGACACGGCCCAAACUCCUACGGGAGGCAGCAGUGGGGAAUCUUGCACAAUGGAGGAAACUCUGAUGCAGCGAUGCCGCGUGAGUGAAGAAGGCCUUUGGGUUGUAAAGCUCUUUCGUCGGGGAAGAAAAUGACUGUACCCGAAUAAGA